CCUACGGGAGGCUGCAGUGGGGAAUAUUGCACAAUGGGGGAAACCCUGAUGCAGCGACGCCGCGUGAGCGAUGAAGUAUUUCGGGAGGUAAAGCUCUAUCAGCAGGGAAGAAAAUGACGGUACCUGACUAAGAAGCCCCGGCGAACGACGGGCCAGCAGCCGCGGUAAUACGUAGGGGGCAAGCGUUAUCCGGAGUUACUGGGUGUAAAGGGAGCGUAGACGGCGGUGCAAGCCAGAUGUGAAAGCCCGGGGCUCAACCCCGGGACUGCCUUUGGAACUGUGCUGCUAGAGUGUCGGAGAGGCCGGCGGCAUUCCUCGUGUAGCGGUGCAAUGCGUAGAUAUUAGGCGGACCCCCAGUGGCGAAGGCGGCCUGCUGGACGAUGCCUGACGUUGCGGCUCGAACGCGUGGGGAGCAAACAGGAUUAGAUACCCGUGUAGUC
rnacentral:rRNA from 1 species